AAGUCGUAACAAGGUUUCCGUAGGUGAACCUGCGGAAGGAUCAUUAAGAAGAUUGUGCCUAUGGUGCAAGUCUAUCCUUGUGUUGUGUGUUGUUGCUUGUGCGUAUACAUUUUAUUUUGUUGUGCGCACUAGUUUUUUCUCAACUCAUUCCAUACAUUUCUGAUAUAUACUGCUCAUAAGAGCACAAACAAUCGAAAACUGCCAGCAAUGGAUCACUCGGUUCUC
rnacentral:misc_RNA from 1 species